rnacentral:rRNA from 1 species
AGUGAACGCUGGCGGCAGGCCUAACACAUGCAAGUCGAACGGCAGCACAGCAGUAGCAAUACUGUGGGUGGCGAGUGGCGGACGGGUGAGGAAUACAUCGGGAUCUACCCGGUUGUGGGGGAUAACGUAGGGAAACUUACGCUAAUACCGCAUACGACCGAGAGGUGAAAGCGGCGGACCGCAAGGCGUCGCGCGAUCGGAUGAACCGAUGUCGGAUUAGCUAGUUGGUGAGGUAAAGGCUCACCAAGGCGACGAUCCGUAGCUGGUCUGAGAGGAUGAUCAGCCACACUGGAACUGAGACACGGUCCAGACUCCUACGGGAGGCAGCAGUGGGGAAUAUUGGACAAUGGGCGCAAGCCUGAUCCAGCCAUGCCGCGUGUGUGAAGAAGGCCUUCGGGUUGUAAAGCACUUUUGUUGGGGAAGAAAAGCAUUCGGUUAAUACCCGGGUGUUCUGACGGUACCCAAAGAAUAAGCACCGGCUAACUUCGUGCCAGCAGCCGCCGUAA